AUACGUAGGGUGCAAGCGUUAAUCGGAAUUACUGGGCGUAAAGCGUGCGCAGGCGGUUCGGAAAGAAGGAUGUGAAAUCCCAGGGCUCAACCUUGGAACUGCAUUCUUAACUACCGAACUAGAGUAUGUCAGAGGGGGGUAGCAUUCCGCGUGUAGCAGUGAAAUGCGUAGAUAUGCGGAGGAAUACCGAUGGCGAAGGCAGCCCCCUGGGAUAAUACUGACGCUCAUGCACGAAAGCGUGGGUAGCAAACAGGAUUAGAUACCCUGGUAGUCCACGCCCUAAACGAUGUCAACUAGCUGUUGGGCCCUUCGGGGCUUAGUAGCGUAGCUAACGCGUGAAGUUGACCGCCUGGGGAGUACGGUCGCAAGAUUAAAACUCAAAUGAAUUGACGGGG
rnacentral:rRNA from 1 species